AGAGUUUGAUCAUGGCUCAGGACGAACGCUGGCGGCGUGCCUAAUACAUGCAAGUCGAGCGAACUUGUGGGAGCUUGCUCCCAUAAGUUAGCGGCGGACGGGUGAGUAACACGUGGGCAACCUGCCUAUAAGACUGGGAUAACUUCGGGAAACCGGAGCUAAUACCGGAUAAUUCAUAUCUACACAUGUAGGUAUGCUGAAAGACGGUUUACGCUGUCACUUAUAGAUGGGCCCGCGGCGCAUUAGCUAGUUGGUGAGGUAACGGCUCACCAAGGCGACGAUGCGUAGCCGACCUGAGAGGGUGAUCGGCCACACUGGGACUGAGACACGGCCCAGACUCCUACGGGAGGCAGCAGUAGGGAAUCUUCCGCAAUGGACGAAAGUCUGACGGAGCAACGCCGCGUGAGUGAUGAAGGUUUUCGGAUCGUAAAACUCUGUUGUUAGGGAAGAACAAGUACUAGAGUAACUGCUAGUACCUUGACGGUACCUAACCAGAAAGCCACGGCUAACUACGUGCCAGCAGCCGCGGUAAUACGUAGGUGGCAAGCGUUGUCCGGAAUUAUUGGGCGUAAAGCGCGCGCAGGCGGUCCUUUAAGUCUGAUGUGAAAGCCCACGGCUCAACCGUGGAGGGUCAUUGGAAACUGGGGGACUUGAGUACAGAAGAGAAGAGGAAUUCCACGUGUAGCGGUGAAAUGCGUAGAGAUGUGGAGGAACACCAGUGGCGAAGGCGACUCUUUGGUCUGUAACUGACGCUGAGGCGCGAAAGCGUGGGGAGCAAACAGGAUUAGAUACCCCAGUAGUCC
rnacentral:rRNA from 1 species